GGCAUUAGCGCGGAUCCUUCUCAUGUUGAGAACCCCAGUGCUGUCUGGGAGCUGGAGUAAACUAGAGAAGAGGUGGCUUGCUAGGUUAGGACAUACUGGAGAAAAUAUCCCUGCUUUCUGUGUUUCCACGAUGUCAGGAUGAUAACAAAUAAUGGAAUUAUGACCGGACAUAAACUGGAAACACCCUUUAUUUGACAGAUGAGGAAACUGAAGCCCACUGAGUAUUUGCUGGCUCUCAGGGACACUUUACCCUGUCACAGGAACCAGAAAAACCUCUGACAGACUUCUUCCAGACCUCUGCAUUUUCUAAGUACCUACAUGUGUCUGUACCUACUUAGAUACCUAACAGGAAGCAUUGUUGUUUUCACUCAGGUGGAGAUGUAAGGAGACUCCAGUCAGCCAUUCAGAGAAAGUCAUGCUGAGAGGCCUAGCACAGCUCAGAAAUUGCAGCUCAAUAUGGGAAGCAAGAGAAAUAACGAUGCACCGAGGGAAAGGGGAAGAGACAUGGCAGGACUAACAAUGUAAGCAGCACAAUGGAAUAGCAUGGGGCAACAUCUCUAGGCCUGGAGAACCUAUUCAUUCUCUUCCUGCUAUCCAGGACAAACUGGUAUAUGUCAUCAGCCUUGCUCUCCCUACAAAGUUACAGAGAGCAACUCUGAGUUUAGAGGUAGUCACCCUUAGGUAACUUCUCUUUCAUGCCUGCUCCUCGCCAUCUAUCUCUUUCACCUUGUACGUAAUUUAAUGCACUGCUUUGAAUUCAUUAACUAGUAUUUCAAGAGUUUCAGUGUUCCAUGGCCUACCAAUUAAAAUGUCCUCGGCCAUAAUCUUGGGAUGAGAUAAGCUGUAGGACAAAGGUCAAAGUAAUGAGCUUGCCAAAUAACCCUUCCCUACUUGGGGCUCCAACCCUCCUGUGGGGUCCAGUCACAGAGUUGAAAUAAAAGAAAUUUUUAAAA